rnacentral:misc_RNA from 1 species
GAAAAAUAAAUAAUAUCAGGGGCCGUCCACACUGAUGCAUUUAAAGGUUGCACUGUCAUCCAAAAAUUAACCCCGAGAUACACAUCAAACUUUGGAAUUUGAUUCUUGGCAUCGUAAUUUCCGUACUUGAAGAAUGCUCUGAUAAGGUAAUUUUGAUUUUUGCCUUGCUCAGGUCUCAAUGUGUAGCAAUUCUUUCUUCCUUUCGGAAAGAACCUUAUACUCUGAACUAGACGCCCAAAAUAAGGAUCCUUAUCAUCAUAUUCAGGGGAUAUGUAGUCGUUCUCUCCGGUGCUUAUAAAAUCUUUGUCAGACUUAUAAAAUAUUCCAGUUUCUUCGUCGAAAUAAUCUUGAUCCACCCCACAGUCAAUGCUUAUGAAACCUUAGAAUUUUUGGGGGGGACGAAAAAAGUUAAUUGGAUAUUCUACUAAAU